GCCCCUUCAAGAGCUAAGCCAAUAUGAGUGCCGGAGAUAAGCGCCGGAUGGGGCC
rnacentral:sRNA from 1 species